rnacentral:sRNA from 1 species
CCUGCUGCUUUCCAUGAUUGUUUACUAGAUGUUGCUUUCUGUGUAGUUAUAUCUUCUUAUUUUUCUUCCUCUUCUUCUACUGCUUUCAAAUGGCAAACUGUGCCUAGGGCGAAAUUGGAAGCAAGGUAACUUGAACAUGGCCCCCCAAAAAAAAAAAAAAAAAAAAAAAAGCGCCAUCACCCCCCUCUCCCCUUGCUUUCUUUUUUUUUUUCUCUCGUAUAUUUAGGGUGUUGGUUGUGAUCCGGCCCGGCACGUCCCCUAAAGCAAGUCACUCCGCAUGAUGAUAUAGUUAUCGCAACUACAUACUCGUAACUAGUAAACUAUCACAUCUGACAAACCCGCCCACGGCAGAGCCCAGCUUGCUUGGACAUCGGCAACACGGCCCUCCUGUUCCUCCGUAUCCCUAUCCCAGAAAAAGCUGUUGUGAUAGUUGUCACCCCUCAUACAUGACCCGCCGCCGGACACUCCGGUUUUUCGAUGAAUCUAUUGGCAGGGGGUGGAUGGGAGGUAGAAUGAUGUAUGCAUGCAGUAACUAGUCAUCCACAUCACGAUACUACAUAAGUCAAUAGCAAGCGAGAGAGAGAGAGAGAGAAACACCCCUGGAUUUUUUAGUAUCGUCGCCCAUCACAAUCGACAUGUCCAGCGGAAUUCCUUUCUUUUCCGCCACCGCUCUGGCCUUUCCGUCUCUCGCGUGGUUUGGAAACGGUUGUCAGCAGACUUCAGCUUCCUGCGGGCGAGUCAGCUUAGUUAC